rnacentral:rRNA from 1 species
GGCGGCUGCCUACCAUGCAUGUCGAACGAACCCUUCGGGGUUAGUGGCGCACGGGUGCAUAUCGCGCUGGGAACCUGCCUUUUGGUUCGGAAUAACAGUGAGAAAUUACUGCUAAUACCGGAUAAUGGCUUCGGACCAAAGAGUUAUCGCCGUUAGAUGGGCCCGCGUAAGAUUAGCUAGUUGGUGGGGUAAAGGCCUACCAAAGCGACAAUCUUUACCUGGUCUGACAGGAUGAUCACCCACACUGGGACUGACACACGGCCCAGACUCCUACGGGAGGCAGCAUUGGGGAAUAUUGGACAAUGGGCGAAAGCCUGAUCCAGCAGUGCCGCGUGAGUGAUGAAGGCCUUAAGGUUGUAAAGCUCUUUUACCCUACAUGAUAAUGACCGUAUCGGGAGAAUAAGCUCCGGCUAACUCCGUGCCAGCAGCCGCGGUAAUACGGAGGGAGCUAGCGUUGAUCGGAAUUACUGGGCGUAAGCGCACGUAAGCAGCUUUUUGAGUCACGGGUGAAAUCCCGGGGCUCAGCCCCAGAACUGCCCUUGAAACUGGAAAGCUAAAGUCUUGGGGAGGCGAGUGGAAUUCCGAGUGUAGAAGUGAAAUUCAUGAUCUUCGGAAGAACACGCUGGCGAAAGUCACUCUGAUGGACAAGCAUUGACGCUUACGUGCCAAAGCGAGAGGAGCAUGCAGGAUUAGACACCCUGGUAGUCCAUGACGUAGGCAAUGAUAACUAUCAUCUCUUGACUCAUAGAACUAUGAGUGGUAUCAGCUCACUGCAUUACUCUUAUCCGCUCUGCGCGAGUACAGGCUCUCAUG